CAAAUGACUCUCGGCAAUGGAUAUCUCGGCUCUUGCAUCGAUGAAGAACGUAGUGAAAUGCGAUACUUGGUGUGAAUUGCAGAAUCUCGUGAACCAUUGAGUCUUUGAACGCAAGUUGUGCCCGAGGCUUUGCCGAGGGCACGCCUGCUUGGGCGUCAUGG
rnacentral:rRNA from 1 species